rnacentral:lncRNA from 1 species
UAUUUAUUUAUUUAUUUAUUUAUUUAUUUAUUUAAUAUUUUUGGUAUCCUUAGCAUUGUACUGAGAAUUUUCCAGGCUCUGUUCCUGAUAUCUUUACAAACAACUUUGUGUGUAUUGGCAUAUGUUAUAUAACAACAAGUCUGUAUGUAUGUAUGUAUGUAUGUAUGUAUGUAUGUAUUAUGGCAGGGUUCUCGACAUUGCCUAGGUUGCCCUCAACUUUGCAACGCUGUUAAGAUUACAGGUGGACACCAUCUCUGUUGGUUUUCUUUCUAUGUAAGAUCCUAAGAGACUCUGGGUCUCUGUUUCUUUAGUCACAAAAUGGAAAUAAUACACACUUAUUGAAUAGGAUCACUGGGAGAAUGAAAUAAAAUAAUGCUUCUAUUUUAAAAAUGGAGGGGAGGGCACACUUCUAAUUCCAGCAUUCCAUUGUUGGGGGACAGGAGGAUUCCUGGUGUUCACUGGCACAGCCUAGCCCAGUGGAUGAGCAGCAGCAGGACCGGCGAGAGAACUGUCUCCAAAAGAACUUUCUCGAGAGGCUUCAGACAGCUCAGUGGUUUAGAGUAUUUGUUGUUCUUGCAGAGAAUCUGAGUUUAGUUCCCAGCACCCAUAUGGAGUGGGUCUCAAUCACCUCUAACUCCAACCCGGGGCGUCUAAUUCUCUCCAUGCUCGCCAUGGGUUUAUAUGUACAAACUCACACACAGGCACACAUAUAUAUACACAUAAUUAAAAGUAAAUAACAAUGAUGACAAUAAUGAUGAUGAUGAUGAUAGUAAAAGAUGGAGCCAAAUAUGGUAGGCAGAGGCAGGCAGGUCUCAGGGGGUUCAAGGCCAGCCUGAGCUACAUAAUUUCAGGUUAACUAGGGCUACAUUAUGAGGCCUUGUCUCAAAAAGAAAUUUAAAAAGAAAAGGUAGGUAGCUACUGUGCAUGCAUGGAUACAUGCACCCCACACAUACACAUGCGCACAAGAGCAUAUGACACAUGAGCACAUACAUAUAUACAUAUACCACCAUCGAGGAUCUAUUUCCUGCCUUGAAAGAGAUAGCAAGUGAGAGGAAGUAAAAUUAUUAUAUAAACUUGACAUGCAGGUUUCCUGAAGGGUGUCCUUUCAGCUCUGUGACCUUAAGUGACCGACCACUGUCUCCGUUGUUCUUUAAUACAAGCUGGAGGAGAGGGCCGCAGAGCAAGUACCUUACCUAUAGUAUGUACUGAAUCCUGGGGACAGCCCUGCAAGAUUCCGGCCAAAGACAAAUCUGAGAUUCAGGCAGGUUAAGUACCAUGCUUCAGACUACACAGCGCACAGCCACACAGCCAGCAAGCGGUAAGUUUGCAAUUUCAUUCCAGAUUGCACAUCAGAGAUCACAUGCUUUCAAGGACUUCAGAAUUGGUUCAUGAUUUUGUUUUAUUUUUGAAACAAGGUCUCACAAUGGCUCACUCCUGGCUGUCCUGGAACUUGCUGUGUAUCCCAGACCGACCUAGAACUCGUAGAGACCUACCCACCUCUGCCUCCAAAGUGCUGGGGGUAGAGCCAGAUGUCAGUCACCAAGCCGGCUCUAAUUUUGUUUUUAUUUUUGUUUAUUUUCUUCUUGCAAACGUGUCUGUGUAGUCCAGGCUGGCUUCAGACUGAUCAGGAAGUGACCUUGAAGUCCUGGCCCCUGGCUCUUCUGAAAUGCUACAACUACAGUUGUGCACGAUCAUGCUUUUUGUGAGAGUUUAUUGAUUUUCUUCGUUUCUUGGAAAUAGAUAUUUAUGUGGCCCAGGUUAGCCUCCAAGUGGAAAUAGAGCCAAAGAUGACCAUGAACUUCCAUAUCUACCUUCAAGGGACUAAAAUUGGAGGCAUACAUUAUUUGCCUGGUUCUCUGCCCUCAUUAAGCUGCGUACUCUUUUGUUACAUUUUCAUAUCAUACUGAUAUUUUUUCAAGAUAGUGUUUUUCUCUGUAGCCCUGGCUGUCUUGGAACUCACUCUGUAGACCAGGCUGGCUGCAAACUGAGAAAUCCAUCUGCCUCUGCCUCCUGAGGGCUGGGAGUAUAGGUGUGUGCUACCAUAGCAGCUCCCAUGUUAUACUUUACUUAGAAUUUAGAAACAAAAAAUAGCCAGGCAUGGUGCACACACUUAAUUCUGGCACUGCAGGGGCAGGGGCAGGGGCAGGAGCAGGGGGAGGGGCAGGGCAGGCAGAUCUCUGAGUGUUUGGGGCUAACAUGGUCUACCUAAAGAAGAGACUGCAUCUAUAUAUGUUUGCACAUAUCUAUCUAUCUAUCUAUCUAUCUAUCUAUCUAUCUAUCUAUCUAUCUAUCUAUCCAUAUCUAUCUAUCUAUCUAUCUAUCUAUCUAUCUAUCUAUCUAUCUAUCUAUCUAUCUAUCUAUCUAUCUGAUGGUGUAUGUACCUGCAUGUGUCCAUGUGCUUGUAGGAACUGAAGGGGCCAGGCAAAAACAUCCCAUCCCAAAGAAUUGGAGUUAAAGGCAGUUAUGAGCUAUACCAUGUAGGUGCUGAUAACUGAACCCCCUUUUAACUGCUGAACCAUCUCUCUAGCCCCAAGAUUUAUUUUUAAUUGGGUGUGUGUCUCUGUGUGUGUGAAUGGAGGGGGGGGGGUUUGCAUGUAGGUGCCCUUGGAGGCCAGUGGCCUCCAGUCUCCUGGAGAUGCAGUUAUGGGUUUGUGAGCCACCUGAGGUGAAUGCUGGAUAGUAGAAAAGUGUUAUUCCAAGCUGGACUUUGUGGGACAGACACACUUGUAACCCUGACACCUUAGAAGGUGAGGCAGGCGUGUCAUGAGUUUGAGGCCAGGUUGGUCUACAUAAGAAACCCAGACU